GAUGAAAGAACGCAGCGAAAUGCGAUACUUGGUGUGAAUUGCAGAAUCCCGUGAACCAUCGAGUCUUUGAACGCAAGUUGCGCCCGAAGCCAUUAGGCCGAGGGCACGCCUGCCUGGGCGUCACACGUCGUUGCCCCCCCAUCUACUCCUUCGGGAUUGCGGGGGGCGGAUGAUGGCCUCCCGUGCGCCUCGUCGCGCGGUUGGCAUAAAUACCAAGUCCUCGGCGACGCACGCCACGACAAUCGGUGGUUGCGAAACCUCGGUUGCCCGUCGUGUGCGGUCGUCGCGCAUCGAGGGCUCGAAAAAAUUGCCGGGCUCCGGCUCGGCUUUCAACGCGACCCCAGGUCAGGCGGGGUUACCCGCUGAAUUUAAGCAUAUCAAUAAGCGGAGGA
rnacentral:misc_RNA from 1 species